rnacentral:rRNA from 1 species
GACGAACCGUGCGAACGUUAUUCGGAAUCACUGGGCUUAAAGCGCGUGUAGGCGGAGGAGCACGUCGGUUGCUGAAAGCCCCCGGCUCAACCGGGGAAGUGGCGCCGAUACGACUUCUCUCGAGGGGCGUAGGGGGACCUGGAACUUCCGGUGGAGCGGUGAAAUGCGUUGAGAUCGGAAGGAACGCCCGUGGCGAAAGCGAGGUCCUGGACGCCUACUGACGCUGAGACGCGAAAGCCAGGGGAGCGAACGGG